rnacentral:rRNA from 1 species
GCCUGAUGGAGUGAUGCCAUGUGAAUGAUGAAGGUCUUUUUGAUUGUAAAGUUCUUUUAUUGGGGAAAAUGAUGAUGGUACCCAGUGAAUAAGUGACAGCAAACUAUGUGCCAGCAGCUGCGGUAAUACAUAGGUCGCGAGCGUUAUUCGGAUUUAUUGGGCGUAAAGCGAGCGCAGGCGGAUUGGUAAGUUCUGUGUUAAAUGCAGCCGCUCAACGGUUGUAUGCGCAGAAUACUGCUUUUCUAGAAUACGGUAGAAAGUUUUGGAAUUGAAUGUGGAGCGGUGGAAUGUGUAGAUAUAUUCAAGAACACCAGAGGCGAAGGCGAAAACUUAGGCCGAUAUUGACGCUUAGGCUCGAAAGUGUGGGGAGCAAAUGGGAUUAGAUACCCCAGUAGUCCACACCGUAAACGAUGGAUAUUAGAUGUUGGGACUUGAGUCUCAGCGUUGUAGCUUACGUGUUAAAUAUCCCGCCUGAGUAGUACAUAUGCAAAUAUGAAACUCAAAGGAAUUGACGGGGACCUGAACAAGUGGUGGAACAUGUUGCUUAAUUCGACAAUACACGAAAAACCUUACCAAGAUUUGACAUCCCCUGCAAAGCUUUAGAAAUAAAGUGGAGGUUAUCAGGGUGACAGGUGGUGCAUGGCUGUCGUCAGCUCGUGUCAUGAGAUGUCUGGUUAAGUCCUGAAACGAGCGCAACCCUACUCUUUAGUUAACUUUCUAAAGAGACUGAACAGUAAUGUAUAGGAAGGAUGGGAUCACGUCAAGUCAUCAUGCCCCUUAUAUCUUGGGCCGCAAACGUGUUACAAUGGUGGGUACUUCGUGUCGCAAGUCAGCGAUGGCAAGCUAAUCACUAAAAGCUC